GAAAAUAUGGUCAUUAUCUCAAUUCAAAUUUCCAAUGGAGUUUGCAACCAUAAUUACCCAUUUAAAUACAUCAUAAAAGUCUUAAAAUAGAUAAUGACAAACAUAAUCAUGUCUAAAAUUAUAUAUCUUUAAUCAGCAUUUUUAUUAGUAACUUCUAAAAAUAAAUUGACAGCUAAUCACCUCAAGACAAUACAAAAUUUCUUUAUAUAUAAUUUUAAAGCAGUGUAAGGGAGGUAAUCCAAAUUUAACAUUGUACUUAAAAGUGAUUGUCCAUAAACAAGGAAACCCUUGUUUUUUCCCCCUUUUUAGCCCCUAAUUCCUAAACGGUUUGAGCCAUUACCCCCCAAAGCCAAUCAUAACCAUCCCUUUGUGGUAUGGAAACUUGUUGUACAUUUCAGAGAGAUCCAUACACCGUUCCACAAGUUAUUGUCUGAAAACUAGAAAAAUGCUUAUUUGGGCCCCUGUUUUGGCCCCUUAUUCCUAAACUUUUUGGGCAAUUACCCCCAAACUCAAUUCCAGCUUUCCCUUUGUGAUAUGGAACCUUGUAGUACAAUUUCAGAAAGAUCCAUACACUUACACACAAGUUAUUGUCAUGAAACUAGAAACAUGCUUGUUUUUUUUGCCCCUUUUUUUGCCCCUAAUUCCGAAAAUUUUGAGGCAAUUACCCCAAAAAUCAAUCCCGGCAUUCCCUUUGUGAUCUGGAACCUUGUGGUACAAUGUCAGAGAGAUCCAUA